ensembl:misc_RNA Metazoa_SRP Metazoan signal recognition particle RNA
GGCAGGAGGAGACUUCAAAAUCACCCUGGCCACGUGGGGCUUUUUAAACAGAGCAAUUACUUGAGCUUGAGAGUUCUGGGCUGCAGUGUGCUAUGCCAGUUGGGUGUCUGCAUCAAUAUGGGGACCCCCCCACCGCCACCAAAAGCAGGGGACCAUCAGGUUGCCUAAGGAGGAGUGAACUGGCGCAGGUCAGAAAUGGAGCAGGUCAAAACUCCUGCACAGAUCAGUAGUGGGAUUGCACCGGUGACUAGCCACUGCAUCCCAGCCUGGGCAACAUAGUGAGACCCUGUCUCA